ensembl:snoRNA
CCCUCCUAAAAGGGUGUGUCUGUAGUUCCCUGUCUUUAGACACGUAAGAAUUGGCGGCAAAGAAAUGUGAACUUGGAGAAUUCUCCGUCUGGGGCCAGCUUGCUCCCUGUAGACUCAAGAUGAACCAACCAACAGAG